ensembl:snoRNA
AUGCUUCAUAAUUUGUAAGUGUGAUGAUGGGGUUUUUGUGUUUAUGUGUGAGAUGUGUCUCCUUCAACCUUGUUACAAUAGUUGGGCAUUAUCUGCCUGAUG